rnacentral:lncRNA from 1 species
UGACUUUGGAUAUUCAGCAGUCAAGUCUUGCAUAUUAACACAUUUUUUUUUCUUUCCACAUGUCUCUUCCUGACUGACCCUAUAAGAGUUCAGAGAUGAGGGUUAAUGGACUGACUGGUGAUGGAAAAGAUAGCUCAGAGAUAUUUCAAGCAGGCUGCAAGAAUCUCCCAGUUUCGUCCAUCACAAAUCCAUCGUUGAUCCUGGAUGCAGGCUUCAGCUGGCAAAGGAAAGGAAAUACAGAGUUCAAAGCAAGAAUGCAUGCUUUGCAGAGCUGAGGAAAACAGAAUUACUGUCACACCAAGCAAGGGCCAAGAUGUGGUCAAAACUUUGAGUCAGCACAGCCUGGAGUUGUCUGUCUCUAGUUGAAUUGUUAUGUAUGGGAUGCAUUUUCAAAAGGAUAAAGUUGAAGACACAGUCUAUUUACAAAAUAUGAAAUUAACCUGGAGUUAUAUAAACAUGCCAAAAGAGGAAAGAAAUUUACACUGGAGCUGUAGUGAGACAUUCAGGUUUGGAAGCAGAAACAGAAUUAAUGCAGAGAGAAGAUGCCAUUGAUAGAGCAGUCCACAUCAGAAAAUCUCUGCUCUUGACAGCAGGAAAAGUUCUCUAGGUAAAGACACUUAUCCUGUGUGAUCCAUUUUCUUUCUGUUUUCCAUGUGUCCUGGUUCUGUAGUUUUGGGUUCCUAUGAGACCCGGUCCCAUUUUGGCACUUACUGUUUUCCUCCUGUUCACACAGAUUCUGAUGUGAAAUUGUACAUUACUUGGAGUAAUUUAAUGACGAUUCUUCCUUGCCACUAAAAGACCAUAACUACAG